GUCUCUGUGGCGCAAUUGGUUAGCGCGUUCGGCUGUUAACUGAAAAGGUGGUGGUUCCAGCCAACCCAGGGACG
rnacentral:tRNA from 1 species